rnacentral:rRNA from 1 species
AUUGAACGCUGGCGGCAUGCUUUACACAUGCAAGUCGAACGGUAACAGGUUAAGCUGACGAGUGGCGAACGGGUGAGUAAUGCAUCGGAACGUGCCCGAUCGUGGGGGAUAACGCAGCGAAAGCUGCGCUAAUACCGCAUACGAUCUGAGGAUGAAAGCGGGGGACCGUAAGGCCUCGCGCGAUCGGAGCGGCCGAUGUCAGAUUAGGUAGUUGGUGGGGUAAAGGCCCACCAAGCCGACGAUCUGUAGCUGGUCUGAGAGGACGACCAGCCACACUGGGACUGAGACACGGCCCAGACUCCUACGGGAGGCAGCAGUGGGGAAUUUUGGACAAUGGGCGAAAGCCUGAUCCAGCAAUGCCGCGUGCAGGAAGAAGGCCUUCGGGUUGUAAACUGCUUUUGUACGGAGCGAAAAGGCCCUUUCUAAUACAAGGGGCUCAUGACGGUACCGUAAGAAUAAGCACCGGCUAACUACGUGCCAGCAGCCGCCGUAACAC